UUGAGGGGAAUGUUGUCCGGCUCGAGGCCGGUAGAGAUCGAUCUGAUCGCUUUGUGUAGAGAUCUCGGACCAGGCUUCAUUCCCCUCAA
rnacentral:pre_miRNA from 1 species